GAAACUGGCGCACGGGUGAGUAACGCAUGGGGAUAUGCCUAAAGGUACGGAAUAACCGUUGGAAACGACGGCUAAUACCGUAUGCUCCCUCAGGGGAAAAGCUUCGGCGCCUUUAGAUUAUCCCGCGUCCUAUUAGCUUGUUGGUGAGGUAACGGCUCACCAAGGCUCCGAUCGGUAGCUGGUCUGAGAGGACGAUCAGCCACACUGGGACUGAGACACGGCCCAGACUCCUACGGGAGGCAGCAGUGGGGAAUAUUGGACAAUGGGGGCAACCCUGAUCCAGCCAUGCCGCGUGAGUGAAGAAGGCCUUAGGGUUGUAAAGCUCUUUCAGCGGGGAAGAUGAUGACGGUACCCGCAGAAGAAGCCCCGGCUAACUCCGUGCCAGCAGCCGCGGUAAUACGGAGGGGGCUAGCGUUGCUCGGAAUUACUGGGCGUAAAGGGCGCGUAGGCGGAUUUCUCAGUCAGGCGUGAAAGCCCCGGGCUCAACCCGGGAACUGCGUUUGAAACUAGAAGUCUAGAGAUCUGGAGAGGGUGGUGGAAUUCCCAGUGUAGAGGUGAAAUUCGUAGAUAUUGGGAAGAACACCGGGUGGCGAAGGCGGCCACCUGGCCAGACACUGACGCUA
rnacentral:rRNA from 1 species